rnacentral:rRNA from 1 species
GGGUGAGUAACACGUGAGUAACCUGCCCCUGACUCUGGGAUAAGCGUUGGAAACGACGUCUAAUACUGGAUAUGAUCACUGGCCGCAUGGUCUGGUGGUGGAAAGAUUUUUUGGUUGGGGAUGGACUCGCGGCCUAUCAGCUUGUUGGUGAGGUAAUGGCUCACCAAGGCGACGACGGGUAGCCGGCCUGAGAGGGUGACCGGCCACACUGGGACUGAGACACGGCCCAGACUCCUACGGGAGGCAGCAGUGGGGAAUAUUGCACAAUGGGCGAAAGCCUGAUGCAGCAACGCCGCGUGAGGGAUGACGGCCUUCGGGUUGUAAACCUCUUUUAGUAGGGAAGAAGCGAGAGUGACGGUACCUGCAGAAAAAGCACCGGCUAACUACGUGCCAGCAGCCGCGGUAAUACGUAGGGUGCAAGCGUUGUCCGGAAUUAUUGGGCGUAAAGAGCUCGUAGGCGGUUUGUCGCGUCUGCUGUGAAAUCCCGAGGCUCAACCUCGGGCUUGCAGUGGGUACGGGCAGACUAGAGUGCGGUAGGGGAGAUUGGAAUUCCUGGUGUAGCGGUGGAAUGCGCAGAUAUCAGGAGGAACACCGAUGGCGAAGGCAGAUCUCUGGGCCGUAACUGACGCUGAGGAGCGAAAGGGUGGGGAGCAAACAGGCUUAGAUACCCUGGUAGUCCACCCCGUAAACGUUGGGAACUAGUUGUGGGGACCAUUCCACGGUUUCCGUGACGCAGCUAACGCAUUAAGUUCCCCGCCUGGGGAGUACGGCCGCAAGGCUAAAACUCAAAGGAAUUGACGGGGACCCGCACAAGCGGCGGAGCAUGCGGAUUAAUUCGAUGCAACGCGAAGAACCUUACCAAGGCUUGACAUACACCGGAACACCGUAGAAAUACGGGACUCUUUGGACACUGGUGAACAGGUGGUGCAUGGUUGUCGUCAGCUC